GUCUUUUAAUUGAAGACUUGUAUGAAUGAUUUGAUGAAAUAUAAACUGUCUCUUUAUUAAAAAUAGAAUUUAAUUUUUUAGUUAAAAAGCUAAAAUUUAUUUAAAAGACGAGAAGACCCUAUAGAGUUUUAUACUUAAAAUUAUAUUAAUUUUGUAUAAAAUUUUUAUUUAAUAUUUUUUUAAGUAUUUUAUUGGGGUGAUAGAAAAAUUUAAUAAACUUUUUUUAAAAAUUUUACAUUAAUAUAUGAAAUUUUGAUCCAUAAUUUAUGAUUAAAAGAUUAAAUUACCUUAGGGAUAACAGCGUAAUUUUUUUUUUUAGUUCUUAUAAGAAAAAAAGUUUGCGACCUCGAUGUUGGAUUAAG
rnacentral:rRNA from 5 species